AACGAACGCUGGCGGCAUGCCUAACACAUGCAAGUCGAACGAGACCUUCGGGUCUAGUGGCGCACGGGUGCGUAACGCGUGGGAACCUGCCCUUAGGUUUGGAAUAACUCCCCGAAAGGGGUGCUAAUACCGGAUAAUGUCUUCGGACCAAAGAUUUAUCGCCUUUGGAUGGGCCCGCGUUGGAUUAGCUAGUUGGUAGGGUAAAAGCCUACCACGGCGACGAUCCAUAGCUGGUAUGAGAGGAUGAUCAGCGACACUGGGACGGAGACACGGCCCAGACUCCUGCGGGAGGCAGCAGUGGGGAAUAUUGGACAAUGGGCGAAGUGCUGAUGCAGCAAUGCCGCGUGAGUGAUGAAGGCCUUAAGGUUGUAAAGCUAUUUUACCCGGGAUGAUAAUGACAGUACCGAGAGAAUAAGCUCCGGCUAACUCCGUG
rnacentral:rRNA from 1 species